AUUGAACGCUGGCGGCAUGCUUUACACAUGCAAGUCGAACGGUAACAGGCCGCAAGGUGCUGACGAGUGGCGAACGGGUGAGUAAUGCAUCGGAACGUGCCCAGUCGUGGGGGGUAACUACUCGAAAGAGUAGCUAAUACCGCAUACGAUCUAUGGAUGAAAGCGGGGGACCGUAAGGCCUCGCGCGAUUGGAGCGGCCGAUGUCAGAUUAGGUAGUAGGUGGGGUAAAGGCUCACCAAGCCAACGAUCUGUAGCUGUUCUGAGACGACGACCCGCCACACUGAGACUGAGACACGGCCCAGACUCCUACGGGAGGCAGCAGUGGGGAAUUUUGGACAAUGGGCGCAAGCUUGAUCCAGCAAUGCCGCGUGCAGGAAGAAGGCCUUCGGGUUGUAAACUGCUUUUGUACGGAACGAAACGGCUCUGGUUAAUACCCGGGGCUAAUGACGGUACCGUAAGAAUAAGCACCGGCUGACUACGUG
rnacentral:rRNA from 1 species